rnacentral:rRNA from 1 species
CGCUGGCGGCGUGCUUAACACAUGCAAGUCGAACGGAAAGGCCCUGCUUUUGUGGGGUGCUCGAGUGGCGAACGGGUGAGUAACACGUGAGUAACCUGCCCUUGACUUUGGGAUAACUUCAGGAAACUGGGGCUAAUACCGGAUAGGAGCUCCUGCUGCAUGGUGGGGGUUGGAAAGUUUCGGCGGUUGGGGAUGGACUCGCGGCUUAUCAGCUUGUUGGUGGGGUAGUGGCUUACCAAGGCUUUGACGGGUAGCCGGCCUGAGAGGGUGACCGGCCACAUUGGGACUGAGAUACGGCCCAGACUCCUACGGGAGGCAGCAGUGGGGAAUAUUGCACAAUGGGCGGAAGCCUGAUGCAGCAACGCCGCGUGCGGGAUGACGGCCUUCGGGUUGUAAACCGCUUUCGCCUGUGACGAAGCGUGAGUGACGGUAAUGGGUAAAGAAGCACCGGCUAACUACGUGCCAGCAGCCGCGGUGAUACGUAGGGUGCGAGCGUUGUCCGGAUUUAUUGGGCGUAAAGGGCUCGUAGGUGGUUGAUCGCGUCGGAAGUGUAAUCUUGGGGCUUAACCCUGAGCGUGCUUUCGAUACGGGUUGACUUGAGGAAGGUAGGGGAGAAUGGAAUUCCUGGUGGAGCGGUGGAAUGCGCAGAUAUCAGGAGGAACACCAGUGGCGAAGGCGGUUCUCUGGGCCUUUCCUGACGCUGAGGAGCGAAAGCGUGGGGAGCGAACAGGCUUAGAUACCCUGGUAGUCCACGCUGUAAACGGUGGGUACUAGGUGUGGGGUCCAUUCCACGGGUUCCGUGCCGUAGCUAACGCUUUAAGUACCCCGCCUGGGGAGUACGGCCGCAAGGCUAAAACUCAAAGGAAUUGACGAGGCCCCGCACAAGCGGCGGAGCAUGCGGAUUAAUUCGAUGCAACGCGUAGAACCUUACCUGGGUUUGACAUGGAUCGGGAGUGCUCAGAGAUGGGUGUGCCUCUUUUGGGGUCGGUUCACAGGUGGUGCAUGGCUGUCGUCAGCUCGUGUCGUGAGAUGUUGGGUUAAGUCCCGCAACGAGCGCAACCCUUGUUCACUGUUGCCAGCACGUUAUGGUGGGGACUCAGUGGAGACCGCCGGGGUCAACUCGGAGGAAGGUGGGGAUGACGUCAAGUCAUCAUGCCCCUUAUGUCCAGGGCUUCACGCAUGCUACAAUGGCUGGUACAGAGAGUGGCGAGCCUGUGAGGGUGAGCGAAUCUCGGAAAGCCGGUCUCAGUUCGGAUUGGGGUCUGCAACUCGACCUCAUGAAGUCGGAGUCGCUAGUAAUCGCAGAUCAGCAACGCUGCGGUGAAUACGUUCCCGGGGCUUGUACACACCACCCGUCAAGUCAUGAAAGUUGGUAACACCCGAAGCCGGUGGCCUAACCGUUGUGGGGGAGCCGUCGAAGGUGGGACUGGUGAUUAGGAC